GGAUGGGUUAUCUUUGCUGAGUAUGCAAAAGCAAGACCACUACCUCCCUCAAUGCAGAACAGUAAUACUAUAACUGGAUAUGCCAAUUACAAGUCACCAACAUCAGGGGCGGAGCUACAGGGUGCGAGGGGUGGCAACCGAACCCCCUUCGUCGGAAAAUUGCACUAAAUAUAUAUGGUGAAUUUUUUUAUUCAUGUAUAAAUAUUAUUUUUGCAUCCCCUUAACAAAUGGAGAUUCCGGAUCAGUGGAUGAGGCGCCUGUGAUUGAGCCCACGGUCGCGGGUUCGAUUCUCGGCAAUGACACAUUUUUUAACAUUUUUCAUCCAGUCCCUUUAAAAAAAAAAAAGAUUAACAAAAACGACGUCGUUUGCUGGACUCUAUUUUUUUUUUUAAAGCAACCACUAAGGAAACUUAGUGGAGGGAUAUUAUUAAAAUAUAAUAGUCAACAAAAGUAAAAACCAAGACAAAAGCAAAAGAAUAGCUGGAAUAAAUCCAGCCCAAAUGAAAUUCAGCAAAAACAACUAGAAACGUUAGCCAUUGGGGAUAAAAAGAAUCCCUAAUUUCAAAAGUGUUAACAUUGUUCUUCACUUCUUUGUCAGCUCAAUUGUGUUGCUGCCUUCGCCCAUGGCUUCCAAUUCCAAGUCUCAAAAGUCAGUGAAGAAUUAUUUUACCAAAGUUCCAAAAUCAAGUUUGGACUCUCAUGAUCAACCUAAUCUAGAAGAAAAUGUCAACCACUCAGAAGUACCAUUGCUUUCUUCUCAGGAAUUUGAUUUGAAUUCUUUAAAGCAUGAUCCGGGUGAAAGAACUCAAAUCUUGGACUUUCAUCCAAAUCAUCGUGAUGUCAUUCGAAGAGAAUACCUUAGGAGAGGUCCUUGUCAACCUCGGCUUAAAGAGUAUCCUAAAACAAAUGAAUAAGAGUUAUUUUAGUGGUUGCUUGGUGCCUUAUGUAGAAAAAGAUGUGUUUAAUAGGAUCUCUAAUGAUGUUAUUAUAAAAACAUUUCAAGGAAUGAAACCUCGUCGUGUACAGUUGUAGUAAUAUACUUGCACUUUCAAUAGAGAAUUGUGUUUGUUUUGAUU